CGGAGGCAGCAGUGGAGAUUCUCCGCGCUAGACCUACUGAACUGAACAAUAAUGACCGAUUCCACAAUGGGCUUCCCAUUGUGGAUGAGAACCGGGACCUUCUUGUGGAUUGGAUUGGAUUCGAGCAGGAGCUGGCCCUCCUGGGGGAGAUCAUCGUGCUCGAUGCCUUUGAGUAGCAAUGCAAUCUUUACUCGCAGAGAAAAGUGGCUCACCCGGGAGCUGAGCAGCGUCACGCCUUCCAUGGAUCCGGAAUGGAUUGGAAAAUGAGGUCUCGAGAGAACAGUAGAAUUCUAGAAUGCGAUCAAUCCAAACAGUAGUGACAUUGUCAUUAUGUUAUCUGAUCAAUGUUUUAGCUAUCAAUAUGCUCAAUCAAGAUAUGGCAAAGGUUUCUACUUAUUUCGGAUUAAUUCCUCCGGGGGCAGUGCGCCCUUGGCAGCGGGAUGCUCGGACACGGCCUCGAAGAACUUGUGGAGACGCGGGCACUGCUCCUCGCUGGCAUGCUUCAAGCCCAUCACUCCCACAACCCCGGGGGCGUAGGGAGCGAGCAUCACAUCUAAGAAGGAGAAGCUCGCGCCGCCGAAGAAGGGACCCUCUUGUUCACUCCCCAGCUUCGUCAAGGCCCCCUCGAGAAGCACGCAGUUGGCGAUGAAUUCCUCGUUUGCGGCAUCUUUGUCGUUCCCGCGCACGAAACGCAUCAAGCAGUCCAGCAGCUGUACAAGCAAAGGCAUGAGAUCGAGUAGAUUUCUCGAGAUUUAUAGAACAUACCUUCUUGUCGAUGAAAUCGGUCCAGAAGCGGUGCUCUGCGCGGAGGAAUGCGUCUUUCGGCAAGAGUGGCGAUGUUCCAGGCCAAACCUCGUCGAUGUAGUGGACGAUGAUGGCCGACUCUGCGAUGGGCUUGCCCUUGUGGAUGAGAACCGGGACCUUCUUGUGAACUGGAUUGGACUCGAGUAGGAUCUUGCUCUUGUUGCCCAAAUCCUGGGGGAGAUCUUCGUGCUCGAUGCCCUUGAGCAACAGUGCAAGCUUGGCUCGCAUCGAGAAGGGGCUGGCCCAAAAGCUGAGCAGUGUUACAUCUUGAUCACUAGAAGCCAUUGGAAAUGGAAAUCUAGAAGAAAGAUCUGGAAAUGCGAGAGGCUGGAGAAAGGUUUGUUGGAGUCGCGCUUUAUAUAGUCCGUGUGAUCCACGGGGAGCGAGGAGAGUUCCAGAACAUAAUUUGGACCUACGAUUGACUGGGAAGAGAUAUUCGAGAAGAGAUCUUCGUGAAUGUCGGUAGAACACUUAAGGUUUUAACCAGGUUAUUCCCAAGCCCACCACCCGGGGCUGUCCCGAGCUUGUUCACUGUUUGAUUUAGAAAGAUCCUUGGAAUCCCGGCUUCAAGAUAGCAGAAGAAUUUGAUUCUGUCAACUGAGAUCUUGCACUGGUAGAUCACCACGAUCGAGUGUCGGUAGAACACAAGUCUGUGAACAGCAUCAGGUUAUUCCGAGAGCCACCACCCGGUGCCGCUGCCUUUCUCGCCGCGUCCCUGAAUUCCCUCGCUCUCGCCUUUCGAGCUUUGUCGCUGAAGAUCCUCGCAAUGGCCUCAGCAAUCUCCUCCCGCUUCACAAACGCGUCGGAGCUCCUCCCGUCCGAAACUUCCACCCCGAUGCGGCACCUCUCCGCCAUGAUCUUGCAGUUGAGCCCCUGCUCGUAUAUCCGAGGCCAGCAGAUGAUCGGCACGCCGCUGGAGACGCUCUCCAGGACCGAGUUCCAUCCGCAGUGGCUCACGAAUCCAGCCACUGCCCUGUGCGCCAGAACUUCUCUCUGCGGCGCCCAUGAAACCGCCAGGCCUCGUCCCUUGGUCCGCUCGACGAAGUUCUUGUAGAAGUCACUGUUCUUCACCAGGACUGUCGUGUCUGCUUCGUCCACGAACUGGGGCGGCCUGACUGUGAGCAAGAACGGCACCUUGCUCGCCUCCAAACCGAGCGCGAGCUCCUCGAAUUCCUCCUGCGACAGCUUCGCUAUGCUGCCGAAUGCGACAUAGAGGACUGAGUCUGGCUGCGUGUCGAGCCAGUCGAGGCAUUCCCUGUCCUCCUUGAGAAAGCUCAGCACGGACUUCAAGUCGCCGUGAUCAUCCAGCACCGGGAACAAGGGACCGAUUGGCAGAAACUUGUCGUUGAAAAGCUUCUUCAUCGCGUCCACCACCUUGGGCUCCAGCUCGUGGAAUGUGUUACACAGGAUCCAGGAGGACGCCUUGAGUCGCUCGGCUCCAGCACGAAAGUACUCAAGGACGGCUUCCGUGUAGUGCCAUGGAAGAUCAGACUGCUUGAUCGAGUCUAUCCCCGGAAUGUAAGUGAUUUCUCGGUCCUCGCCAUCUGAUUUUAAACAAGACAAAGAUUUAGAGCUAUAAGAGUUGACAAAGACAAACCUUUUAUCGGAAGAUCGCCUUCCGAAAUAAGCAGUGGGGCGUGGUACUCAACAGCAAACCAAGCCGCACUUCCAGGCCAGUAAACAGCGUAUGGAAUUCCAAAUUCGCUGGCAACUGGAGCACACCAUGAUCCAGCAUAGUGAUCAGAGAUUAUGACGGUAACGCGAGGUCCACUGUCAUUCAGAGCUUGGAUCAAAUUCUUGAACUCGCCGCCGAGAUCGUAAACUGCUCUUGAAAAGCGUAUUAGAUCAGCUUCUGCAGCAGCGAGAACUCCUUUCGACAAAUCCACCGCGGGAUGAAGAGGCUCCAGCCUGAUAUCCAACUCCGAAGGAAAAUCCCAUACCUUGAUCUGCUCAUGAAUGGAAACCACGUUGGCAAUGGUAACUGCGCAUCCGAGUUCUGCCAGCUUCUUGCCGAGGAACACAACUGGCGAAAAGUGCCCCUGAGCAGGAUACGGGACGAGUACCACAUGUGGUUUGCCUGCAAACAUCAUAUUGUCAAUGCAAUUUCUCUCGAGUUCUACGAAGAAGAAAGAACGAACCUGAAGCGCUAUAUUUUGGUGGAGUAGGCCAGCUGACACAUCGAAGCCCGUUCCUCGCCCUUCCACGUUGGCUUUUUCCGGAAAGAAUCAUUCUUCCGUCUCGGGGAAAACGAGUGGACACUUGUCGCAGGUUCCUGCCUUCAGUAACUCUCUGGCAGCGUCAUCCAGUAGAAAGCUGAAAAUCUCCUUCGCAAUUAGCACUGCUAUUCUCUGUAGCUCCUCCUCUGUGCCUGCCCAGUUUGCCUCUUUACUAACAUCUCCCUGGUGAAGGCCUUCGACUGACUGCUGCUGGAGGCCUGUGUUAUGGCAUAUCUCACUCCAAACGUCUCGCAGAAGUCCCCGGCUCGAAGGCUUACAAGACUUCCGAGCCAAAAUCUCGUUGACGACGUCGAAGAGAAACCGGCGAUGAGAUAAAUUGUCAGGACUUCCUUGAUAGUCUGCUUCCAGCGUCUGAAAAGCUUGAGAAAUAGCCACAGGCCUUCGACUGUCACACUCAUAAAGGGGCGGAUUCUUGGACGCCAAAAGUACCUUAGAAACGUAGACAAGAUCUGCUAGACGAGUGUCAGCCACAGGUUUCCCUGUGUUUACUCCCCGAUUCGGUGCUUUUAAAACUCGACGAGUUUCUGCAAGGACGCCACGUUAAUUCAGAUAAAAGAAACCUUGUUCAUAGGUAGCAUUACCUCCCGAGUGUCUUUUGCGAAGUUCCAAAAUAGAUACUGGACUUGUCUGCUGCAACGUCUCGCUCGCAUUUGCAAAAAUUCGUCAUCGAGAGAAAGACCACCUUGGAAACCAUACCUCUACGAUUUCAACUUGAGGCGCCAGUCGUGUAUCAUAAUCUUCAGAAAAGGUUCUCUGUUCUAGCGUGUCUCCAGGCCGGUCUUCGUCAACGAGAGCCUGCUUUCUCGAAAGUUUUAUUGGCGUCGUUUGGUAUGCUGGCGAAGAAGUCGUAAGAUUCGCACUUUCCAAACUUUGGUGGCAACUGAUAUAUCGUCUCAGCGUCGGAGUGGAAGCGUCUUGGAUGUCCAGUGGCGUCCGUUCCGGCGAAGGCAAAUGCGAGCUGACGUCUCUGAAAGCACUCUCCCGAGCCUUCCUGGCGAUCUCUUGAGCGAUUUCUUUCGCAUCCUUGGAGCCAUCUCUGAGGCGAUGUAUAACGAACUCCCUGGCAGACUGCUGCUGCGUUUUGGUUUCGGUGACAGCCUCAAACUCCUCCCUGUGAAAUCGCGGUUGCGUUUCAAAGACUUUGUUGCUGGUUGUUUCCCGAAAAUCUGGAGAGUGCGGCUUGUUGAUCAUCACCUUCUCGUGAAAUUGUCUAGUUUCUCUUGUGCUAGCAUGUACUGGUGGAGAGCAGGACCCUGUUUCUUGUCUUCCCUUUGCCGGACCAGGCUUCAAAACUACAAUCCUCGUCGAACCAUUGUCAAUAGAGACUUUCUUUCGAGUUUCAGCACGUUGCCCUUCAUGUCCGUUCAACAAGAGAUGGAGAAGAGUUGGCGUCUUCUAAGGCUCCUCAUUCACAGGCUCCACUGGACUUUCAAACUGGAGAAAGCUGUCCUUACUCGGCUCGAGAGACCGCAUCGCUUCCAAAAGCUGCCGGGAUCGGUGCGUAACCCUCGGAGAGUAAUUCGGUGUUGUUCCCUCCCGGAAAGUCUCGCCCAGCACUGACUUUGUGACUCUUGAAAACUGGCCAGCUUCUUGCGACUGUGUCUCAAGAGUUUGCGCGAGACAGCUUCUAUCAUCUUCGCCCUUUCCAACGAAGAGCCGUUCCUCUUAAGCAUGUCACCCAUUGUCUCCACCGGCAUUGUCUCGAGACCCAUAAGUCUUGCCACUACACCCGGUGGUUUUGCUUUUGCACACGUUGAAAGAACGCUAUGCUUCUCAAAGCCAAACUGGAAGAUCAUAUGGUGAGACACACGAAUAGAAAGAAAAAAUAAAAGCAAAGAACACUUACGGGGAUCCAUCGAGAACUCGGGACUGGAGUCUGGACAAUCCAGGCUAUUACUCGGAGCUUCGACUCCUGGAAGAAUAUAAGGGGCUCGAUCGACACGCAAGAAAAAUCAAAGCUGGGAUGGGGAUUCCAUUCCUGGGCUGCAAGGAAAAGGAGUGGGGAUCACCACACGCUUCAAGUUGCGACCCAAGUGUGACAAGUCUUUGAUCAUCGUUUCCCCUCCUUUGCAAGACACACCGGUACAGGCGGUGAGUGAUCAAUUCCUCUGGGUCAAGCUUGUCCAGAAUCUUGUCUGCAUAGUACUGCAUAGCCACAGUAAACACAACUAUCUUGUAGAGCUUUGCCAUGUCUCACAGGAACUCGUCCACGCCGGGCCGCUUAGCCAAGCGCUCCAGUCGCACAACUUUCCCGCUGAAGAGCCUGAGCGUUGCCCCUGUCGGGCAUGGAUGAGGGUGUUGUCCAUGUCCAAAACCAACGUUGGCUUGUUUGGAUCCAGAGGUGGCGGUAGAAUACAUGUAGUAAACUUUCGUUUUGACCUUCUUGGGCUGUGGCCUUCUUGGAUCUGAAAAUCCCAAUCUCCAUGCUCGCGCUUCAUUUUCGACAGAACUAGAGGUAAACAUCAGCCUUUUUGUACUAAGGGCUGUCCAAACAUGAUGAUCGCUCACUUGCUCACUAAGCGAGCCUGGGUAAACUCUUUGAGCUUCUCGAUCUGUGGCAGUGCCACUUUGGCCGAGGGAUGCUCGGUCACAGCCCCGAAGAGUUUGUGGAGACGCGGGCAUUGCUCCUGGCUCGCGGGCUUCAAGCCCAUCACUUGCUCAAGCGCUGGGAUCCACACCGCAGAGGGUGCCAGCAUCACAUCCAAGAACGACAUGCUCGCGCCACCAAAGAAGGGGCCCUCUUCCUCAUCGCCCAGCUCCGCCAGAGCUCCCUCGAGAAGCAAACAGUCUUGGAUGAACUCCUCGUUCACGGCAGCGCCGUUGCUGCGGAUGAAUCGGUCCAAGGAGUCGGAAAUCUGCGUGAUCGAUAAGCAAGAAGAGUUAUAGCAGCAAAUUUCUCGAAGAAAUACCUUCUUCUCGAAGAAAUCAGUCCAGAAGCGGUGCUGUGCGCGGAGGAAUGCGUCCUGCGGCAAGAGUGGCGAUGUUCCAGGCCAAACCUCGUCGAUGUAGUGGACGAUGAUGGCCGACUCUGCGAUGGGCUUGCCCUUGUGGAUGAGAACCGGGACCUUCUUGUGAACUGGAUUGGACUCGAGUAGGAGCUUACUCUUGUUACCCAAAUCCUGGGGGAGAUCUUCGUGCUCGAUGCCCUUGAGCAACAGUGCAAGCUUGACUCGCAUGGAAAAGGGGCUGGGCCAAAAGCUGAGCAGUGUUACAUCUUGAUCGUGACAAGCCAUGGCUAGAUGGAAAAUUGAGAAGAAAAGUUAGAAAUGCAAAUGGACUGAGGUUUAAUUGGAUGAAGGGUCGCCUUUUUAUAACAUGGCUCUUCGACCAAUUGCCAAGAAGGCAGACGAGAAGGAUGUAAGGUAGUGUUUAAACUUCUAGCAAAUGAGGAAGUGCUGAACUUUCUGGACCAUUGGAUUUAGUUAAUUGCAGCCAUCCGAUGGGGGGUAAUUGUAAAGGGGUUAUUUCUUUAAGCAUCUCUUAGUGAAUAAUUGUGCUGAUGUUUGCUCCUGGCCAAUGAGAGGCAGCCAAGCUGUGUGGGGCAAUUGCACCAUAUGUCACAUGCAAGGUGUUGAUUGUCGAGUGAAGAAAGCACUGUGAAUAAUAGGUUGCCAUUGCUAUUCCUGCUAGGUGAUUGCUUGCCAGCUAUCCAAUGUGGAGAGCAGGCUGACUGUGACUGUGCCUGUUGCAUGUUGAGUGAAUUGUUUUUGUUUUGUAAUGUUUUUCUAGGGUUUAUGACCUUGUUGCUGCUGCCGAUUUGUGAUCCAAAUCUGAGGUGCUGUGUCAAUGCCAUUGGAACAAACCAUGUCCUGGUACUGUUUGUGUCCACACUUUCUUUUAAUGUCUUCCAUUUUACUUUCUUUUUUUCUUCUCAAAUGCCAAGAGUUCAUUCUUAUCCUGAUUUGGUUUUUCCAAUACUUUGUGGUGUCUUUGCUCUUGAGAACCCCAUCACAAGUUCUCACUUUUUUUCCCCAUCACUUGGCUUUUUUUUGUUUUGUUCUUCUUUUCCUAGAUGAAUAUUUGAACCAAGAAGCAGAGAAUGCAAAGACAUUGUCUCUGCAACAGCACGUCAUGUCCCCACCAUGCUUCUAGAACCUUUUUUUAACACUGAUGUGUUUCCUGAGAGAGCUAAGCAGGGUAUGUUGUUAUUUUUCAUUUUUCUUUCAUCAUACAGGAUGUGUCUCCACUUUUGGCUCUUCAUUGCAUUACCGUGAGGAGUUCCAUCAAAUCAAGGUAUUUAUGGUGUGUAGAAUUUGUAUGAUCUUCAUUCUUACUCUAUUGUCAGGAAAUAGGAUGAGGCAAUUUUAGCUAUGUUUAUAAAGUUCUCAAAAGACUUGAUGGCUGCCUUUAUGCUGUAAAGCAUUCCAAUUGACAUCUGCUAAAUGAGGGAGAUUGGUUUGUCACUAUAUUCGAGAGACAAUGGUAUUGAUUUGGCAAAUUUUUCUCUUUGCAAGAGGAAAGCACUGAGAGAAGUUUAGGCACUUUUGUGUCAUGGUGAGUUGGCUUUUUUCUUUCAGUAUUACCACUAGCUUCCUCAAAACUUAUCCAGCUUCCAGGUUGCCAUGAAAACUUUCAUGGCAACAUAAUGUGCUACUUCUCUUCAUGGUUUGGGAAUGACUUUUAUAUAUCCAAAUGGUGAGAUGAGAGCCUUGCAUGGACAUUCACGGAGAAGAAGUUGACUAAGGCAAUGUUUCAAGUAAGCAGCUCAAUUUUGUUCUUUUCUUAUGACAGCUCUUAAACACUUUCAAGCACUUACACUUGCAUGGCCUCACUCACCUGGAUGUGAAGCUUGACAAGAUCUACAUCUGCAAUCGUGUCUACAAGAUUGGCAACUUAGGCCUUGCCAGUUGAAUCAAUGGAACCAUUUCCAUCGAGGAUGGCAACUUGAGAUCAGUCGCAUGGGGGCUUAGUGUGGGAGCUGAUCACAGCCACCUCGAGAAAGUUGACAUGUUUUCCCUAGGGCGACAUUCUACAAGCUCACGAGAUGCUCGCCACCACCAACAUCUAGGCAGUAUCAAGCUAUCCACCAGGGAAAGCUCGCUCUUCUUCCUGGAUUCUCUUUUGCAUUCUAGAGCUUCAUCAAGUCUCUAAUGCAUCCAGCAGCAAAAAAUUGCCCCUCAGCUGCUCAAGCUCUCAAGAAUGCACUCUUCAAGAAGUCUAUCAGGAGUUGCUAAACUUUCUGGGCUGCCAGAUCCAGCCAAUCGCAGCCAUCUGCAGCCAUCUGAUGGGGGAGGGGGGGGACUGUAAAGGGGUUAUUUUUUUAACCACGUGUUUGUGAAUAAUCACACUGAUGUUUGCUCCUGGCUAAUGGGAGGUGGCCAAGCUGCGUGGGGUGGGAGAGGAAGGUGCAGCAACAUGUGUUCUGUAGCAGAUCUUGCUGGAGUUCCAGCCCUCCUACUGGACCUCACGGAAAAGAUCCAGCACCCAUCAAUGCAAUCUGGGAUUGUGGGCGAUGCUAGUGAUCACUGCUGUCCAAGAGACUAGAUUUGGAUCCGGCAUGGCGUGGAAGAUCGCAAUUGCAAUCACGGGGCCAAGAUGGCUGAAUUGGAUGUAACUCGUGAGGAUGGUGUUCCAUAACACUGUGCUGCUCUCUCACACUAGAGAGGAGUCUUGCGCAAAGGCCUAUUCAAGGCCAAUGCUGCAAUCAUGGCAUUGUAGCUUGAUUUGAGAGAAGAUCUGCCGCACCUUUGUGACAUCCACAAUCCAGGCAUACGCAUUGAUGAUUGCUCUGAUCGCACUACAGUCCCAACUCUCCAGGCUCAAGUGAUCAAACAGCACCCUGGCUUCCUUGAUCCUCCCAGACUGAGCAUAUGUCUCGCCUAGUCCUUGAGCAUGGAGAUUGCAGAGUUGGGCGAUGCAAAUCGAUCACAAAGGAGCUUGGCUUGCUCAAUCCUGCCACCAAAGUGCUGUGACCAUGGCAUUGAUCGUCAGGACAUUGUGAUGGGGCAUCAGGCCAAAGAGGAGCUGCGCUUCAUCGAGAUUGCUGCUCCUCAUGUAGCCAGAGAUGAUUGCAUUGCAUGCCGCAACAACACACCAUGGCAUGGAAUUGAAGAGUGCACAUCUGGCCACAUCAUGUGGCAUGGGCGGAGAUCAUCAAUGUCUACAAUACCAUGUCUCGAUCAGGCAUGGAAUCAAACACUUUCUAGCAUUGCCCACUCAAUCACUUGCGAGGUAGGCAGCUAGGGAGUGAGUUCCACACGACCGUGUUGUGCGACUCUAUGGAAUCAAACAAAAUCUUUGUGUCCAUAGCCAGUCCCUACUGUGCAUACGCUCUAAUCAUUGUGCUCCAGGAGACAGGGUUUCUCUGUGGCAUCAUGGCAAAGAGAGCUUGAGCCUCACGGAUAUCGCCACGAGAACCCAUUGCUGUGAUCGUCAGGUUCUGUCUAUGAAAUAUCAUGAUUGCAUCGUUGAUCCUCCCAGACUUUGCAAUUGCAUCCAAGAGGCGCCAUUUGCCCAUUUGUGGCAUUUGCCAUAUUCAUAGAGUUCCAAGAGGCUAUAGUUCAUAAUGGCAUAGAAUCAAAUAGAUCCUUCACAUUUUCUAAAUCAUUCUUUGAUGCCAAAACUGAUAUCAUUGUUGUAUAUGAUGAAACAUCUCGCUCUGGCAUCUCAUUGAAGAGGGCACUGGCUUCCUCCAGAUGCCAGUUUUGGGCAUAGCACAAAAGCAUCGUGUUCCAGCAGAUGAUGUCUCUAUGUGCCAAUGCAAGAAAAAAGUUUUCAUUUUAUCAACCAUUCCACAAUCUGCAUAGGCAGUGAUCAUUGUUAUCCAUGACAUGAGACUGUAGAAAGGCAUCCCAUCAAACAAUCACCAUGCCUCCUCCAGAUCCCCAGCCAUGGCAAUUGCUGCAAUAGCAACAUUCCAGCUGACAAGAUUCUUCAUUGGGUUUUUUUGAAACACCCGCCUGGUCUCAAAUAAUCAUGAAUAAUGAUGUUAAUGUUUGCUCUUAGCCAAUAGGAGGUGGCCAAUUGAUCAGCAUUAACAUUCAACCUUUUGUAGUGGAGAUUUGCUGUGUUAUUUAGAUCUUAUAAUUCUUUUUAAGAAAUUUGAUAAUUUUCUAUGAAAAAACAUAUGUAUAUAGUUAUUUUUUCAAUUCUUCUUUCAAAGUGGAAUAUAAUAUUGUGAGUGAGGGGCACCUUUGAUUAUCCCUGAGGAGUGCUUGGAUUUGGGAUUUUGGUUUAGAUCUAGCUUUUGCAUCGUCUAAAUCUAACUUUUUCCAUUUCCUUUCUUUUAUUCUUUCCUUUCAGGAUUUUGGUUUAGAUCUAGCUUUUUGCAUUGUCUAGAUCUACAAUUUCUUUUUAGCUUUUUGUCAUUUCUCUUCUUUUGCUCUUUCUUUUUCAUUCAAUUUCAUGGCAGAUCAGCAAUCUCCUCCUUUGACUCUAGAGCAGCAGUUGGUACAAUUGCUUGAUGCUAUGCGCUUGUAAUUGAACAACCAAACUCAAUUGAUGGUAGCAUUCACAGCAUGUGGUACAACUACUCUUGCUCUUGGUGCCAAUCCUUGUGUUUGGCCAAAGUUCUUUCGCGCGAAUCCUGGGGAUGAUGUGUACCAUUGGUUCGAUCACUUCACGAUGAUUGCCACAUAUCAUUCUUGGGAUGAUGCUCGACGUUUGCGUGAGUUUCCCACAUGUCUCCAAGGGACGGUGUUGUAGUGUUACAAUGGUUUGAGCGCAGCCACUUGUGGGGAUUGGAGUGUUCUCCUAGACGUCUUCAAACACACCUUCGGACAUGCCGACGACUGUGAUGAUGCCUUCCAACAAUUGCAUCAUCUUCGCCAAGGGCCAUCUGAGUUGGUGAUGCAAUUUGGCAUUCAUUUCCGAAGUCUUUUUUUUCGUGCGGAGCCCAAUAUGUCAGAGUGGAUUAAGCUAGGAAUAUUGUGGCCAACACUUCGUCAAGAUCUUGUCAAACUUGUGCAUGCACUUGCUCUUGCCACCCUUGAUGAUGCUCUUCGCUUGGCACAACAUUAUAAAAUGUUGCCUCUUCCACUUCUCACUACACGUCCUUCAACUUCACUUCCUAUGAGUGAUGGUCUUGUUCCAAUGGAGGUUGAUGCUGCUACUGCUUGAGUCCAAAGAAAAGGGUGAGGACGUGGUCGUGGCCAUGAUGUUUGCUACUGGGCUUGUGAUGAAGUUGGUCAUACUUAUCGGCGUUGUCAGCGUUUUCCAGAUUUGCGACCUCCAUUUCCUGGGUGGAGACCUUGGCGUCAGCAAUAUCCCGUUGGUGCUGCUGUAGUGAAAGGUUUGGACACCGAGAUGCAUUCGAGAAAUGAAGAGUCGCACGAGUAAUGGAGGGACCUUGCGCGAAUAAGUCAGUGACCCCUCCAUCUUUCUUUCGGGAGUAUCAUCAAGGGGUUCACUCGGCAUUAGUUCAUCUAGUGUUUACUUUCCAAGCUCGUUUUUAUAACAAGAGGUCUCCUAUUUGUGAGACACAAAAUCCCUAGGCCCCAAAGUGGAGCCGAAAGGGCGCCACGUGGUAGUGGCCGAAGCGAAAGCCAAACGAGCGUAACAAGUUUGGACUAAAAGCUCCAACUUGAAAAUGUUAAGAGUGGGAGUGGAACUCCCAACGAAGAGCUCGAGGAACAAGCACGAGGCAAGCCAUGAGUGAGUCUCUAGAAAAGGGGACACAAGAGGACCAAAACAUGACACGUGGAAGUGUUCGAGAUGGAGUCCGAGGUGGAGUCCAAGGUGGGACCUGAGAUGGAGUCUGAGAUGGAGUCCAAGGUGGAGUCCGAGGUGGACCCAAGAUGGACCCAAGAUGGACCCAAGAUUGAGUCCAAGAUGGACCCGAGAUGGAGUCCGAGAUAGACCCGAGAUGGAGUCUGAGAUGGACCGAGAUGGAGUCCGAGAUGGACCCGAGAUGGAGUCUAAGAUGGACCCGAGAUGGAGUCCAAGAUGGACCAAGAUGGAGUCCGAGAUGGAGUUCAAGAUGGACCCGAAAUGGAAUCCGAGAUGGAGUUUGAAGUCGAGACCGAGACCGGGACCAAGACCGAGACCGGGAUCGAGACCGAGACCAAAGCCAAGACCGAGACCGAGCCCAAGCCCGAGCUCGAGUCCGAGUCCAAGUCCAAGUCCAAGUCUGAGUCCGAGUCCGAGUCCGAGUUCAAGUCUGAGUUCGAGUCUGAGAGGGUGAAAGCCCAAAGCAUUCAUCUCCCAGACCCUGGGGGGUUUGGUGAGCUCCAAAAGUAUAGUAAGGGGGAGGACUGCAAUGGAGCCAGUUUGGCCAGGAAAGGCUAAUUUAGCCCAGGAAGGCUGUACCCAAUGUUGGGUGAUGAGCUGCCCACUGGGAAGUCCAAGACCAGAGUGAAUACGGACUGACAAGCAGGGUAACUUAGUGAAGUGUUCAAGAGCCGGCUCUAUUUCCCCUGGGAGAUCGACUGCCGAUGCUCCCAAUCCAAGUGUGGGUGGCCCUACCUACUUGGAUACCUAGCAUGGCUUAAUGGAAUCUCGCUCUAAGCCCAUGGCUAGAGCACCAAAAGGCGGAAGGUGGGGAGAGUACCCAUGAGGCUCACGUAAUGCCACAGUAUUCUGAAAUGUUGUCCAAAAGUCCCAUACUGUGGAAAGGAAGAGGAGUAGUCCUCUGGAGUAGAGACCAAGGAUACAGUUGUGUGGCGAGGAAGUCCCAGAGGACCAUGGGACUUAGUGGUCGGGGCUGUGGGCUUCGAUCUAAUGGCAGUGUUGGCGAACACGGCCAUGGGCAGAAAAGGACUUGGUGAGGACCAGAAAAGGGAUAUUAGGGAAGGCUAUUCCCUAUGUCUGUGGGCAUCCUAAGGAUGCUAAGGAGUGGAUCUGGGAUGAUCACUCAUGGACGGAUGGCCUAGUCUUGGAGAGACAGGAUUGCAAUGCAGGUGGUGUUAGACCACCGAUGUGACCAAGGUGAAAGAGCGUCGCCUAGCGUAACAGACUCAUAUGUUGGUGGUACCUUGGGGUGUCGGUCAUGGGAUCGGACACAUGGAGCACUUGGACCAAGUGCAAAGGUUGAGUGGCAUGGAUGCCAUUCUUGGGGCUAGCAACCCCCAAUUCCUGAAUGGGACUUAUGGAGGUUGUGAAUGAGACUCUUCCAAGUGGUCGAAGGUGUGGUUAAGUGACAAAGUAGAAUGGAAAAAUUAGUCACUUACAAUUUGGUAUCGGAGCUGUUCCUUAGUCCGACUUUUAUUGGUGCUCAAGUAUAUCACCACUGGUGUUGGCAUCGAAAAGUCCGAGGAGUGGGCCUAUCCUCAAGGAGUAGCAGGUCAGGAAGACAUGGCUCUCCAUUACAGUUCAUGUGGGAACUUGUAGACGAGGUGGUGGAUAAAAAAAGGCCAAUAAUGGAACGACUUUGGGAUCUUGGGAAUAGUGCAAGGUUUUCCUCAUUGAGUUGAGGAUGUGAUCCAGAUGAGUGUUUGACUCAGCAAACUGGCUAAAGUAGUUGUGGUAAACAACUAUAGUUGAGAUCACGGGGAAGAUAGAGACUCCAAAACGAUAAAGGAGUCACAAGAUUACCCUCAUGAAGUUGAGGCUAAUGCUCAUGAAUUUAAGACCAGAAUUAAUGACCGUUGGAGGUCAAAUGUGGAUGAGGACAUAAGUCCUUGGAAUGGUAGCCGGGCUACCUUGAAUAAAUGUUGGAACAACCCAAGGAGUUGGGGGUGUAUUUCAUACACUAUUUGGUUUAUACAAGUUUUGGUGAUGCUGUUUGUUUUAAACAAUGCUCCAGCAACUUUCUAGUGGAUGAUAGACGAGGUUCUUUACGACAUGUCGGAGGUGACUACUGACUUCAUUGAUGAUGUCUUGAUCCACUCGGAGGGGACGUGAGAGGAUCACAUUUGUAAUGUUUGUAAAGUGUUGGAUCGGUUACGUGAUGUUGGUUUAAAGUUGAAGCAGUCAAAGUGCGUGUUUGGGUCCAAAGACACAACUUAUCUUGGGUACCAUAUUUCUCGUGAGGGUUUGCAAGUUGAUCUUGAUAAACUUGUGGCUGUUCUAAAGUUCCCUACUCUGAAGUGUGUGAAUGAUGUGCAACGCUCCUUGGGCAAGGUGCAGUAUCUCGGUCAUUUUGUGGAUCAUCUUUCUGAUCACACUGCACCGUUGCGAGUGUUGCUAAAGUCAUCAACGUCAUCUUUCAUUUGGUCUCCGGAUUGUGAGCGAGUGUUUAAGGAUCUCAAAGAGCUAUUGACAACUCCUCUGGUUUUGGCAUAUCCUAACUACAGUUAACCUUUUAUUUUGCGCGUGGAUGCUUCUAACAUUGGUCUUAGAAGUGUGUUGAUGCAAGAGAGCUCAAGUGUGCCUAGUCAGUGCCAUCCCAUUGCGUAUAUAAGCCGUACAUUACAACCAGCAGAGAGGAACUACUCCACAACAGAGUUAGCAGCAAUUUAGGGUUUUGAGAAACUUCAUACUGCUCAAUGGGCUUUGAAGCUUUAGAUAUAUGAUUUUGAUGUUGUUCAUCGCCCAAGGAGUUCUAUGGCUAAUGCUGAUGCCCUUUCUCGAGCUCCUCUUCCUUCUCCACUCUCUUCUCAUGUUUCUGACGAGCCUGUUGUUCCAGCAUCUGUGGAUUUUCUAAAUGAGGAUUUUGUGCCAUCGACAGUAGCUAUACUUGAUGUUCAGUGUCCAUAAGGUGCAGAGCAAGAUCUACUUUCUCUUGAUGAAGUUUGCGAAGCUCAAAAGAUUGAGCCGUGGAUUCGAAGGCUUCAAGAUGGGUUUGAGAAUCCUGCAUCAUUUGCUGAUAACAUGCCUUUCCGGCAUUUACAUUCUCAAUAUCGCCUUGAAGACGACUUUCUUUAUUUUGUGGGGAUGGAUCCUAAUGAUCAUUUACGACUGGUGAGAAAAACUGCACAAGUCUUUCUAUUGGCCGGAGAUGCGACGUGAUAUUAUCCGGUAUGUGCAUAGCUAAUACUCCCCCUCAUGCUGCGGAAGGUGGUUGGAGUCAAUUGCAAUUUCCCAUCCAUUGAGUUGGUGGUGUUUGAUCUUAUGGGACCAUUUCCACAGUCGACUGUUGGUAAUGAGUAUGUUAUUAUUGCUUUUGACUACUUGACUCGUUAGGUGGAAGUUGGUGCUUUUGCUAGUGCCUUGUGAGACACAAAAUCCCUAGGCCCCAAAGUGGAGCCGGAAGGGUGCCAUGUGGUAGUGGCUGAAGCGAAAGCCAAACGAGCGUAACACAUUUGGACUAAAAGCUUCAACUUGAAAGGUCGAGAGCGGGAGUGGAACUCCCAACAAAGUGCUCGAAGAACAAGCACGAAGCGAGCCAUAAGCGAGGCUCCAAAAAGGGACCCAAAACGACCAACACAUGACACGUGGAAGUGUCCGAGAUGGAGUUUGAGGUGGAGUCCGAGGUGGAGUCUGAGAUGGAGUCCGAGAUGGACCGAGACAGAGUUCGAGAUGGAGUCCGAGAUGGAGUCCGAGAUGGAGUCCGAGAUGGACCGAGACAGAGUCCGAGAUGGAGAAGAGAUGGAGUUCGAGGUGGAGUCCGAGGUGGAGUCCGAGAUGGAGUCCGAGAUGGAGUUCGAGGUGGAGUCCGAGGUGGAGUCCGAGAUGGAGUCCGAGAUGGAGUUCGAGGUGGAGUCCGAGGUGGAGUCCGAGAUGGAGUCCGAGAUGGACCAAGACAGAGUCCGAGAUGGAGAAGAGAUGGAGUUCGAGGUGGAGUCCGAGGUGGAGUCUGAGAUGGAGUUCGAGGUGGAGUCCGAGGUGGACCCGAGAUGAAAUCUGAGGUCGAGACCGAGACCGGGACCAAGACCGGGACCAAGACCGAGACCGAGACCAGGAUCGGGACCGAGACCGAGAGCGAGACCAGGACCAAGACCAAGACCAAGGCCAAGGCCGAGACUGAGCCCGAGUCCGAGUCCGAGUCCGAGUCCAAGUUUGAGAGGGUGAAAGCCCAAAGCACUCGUCUCCCAGACCCUGGGGGGUUUGGUGAGCUCCAAAAGUAUAGUAAGGGGGAGGGCUGCAAUGGAGCCAGUUUGGCCAGGAAAGACCAGUUUAGCCUAGGAAGGCCAAGCCCAGUGUUGGGUGAUGAACUGACCACUGGGAAGUCCAAGACUAGAGUGAAUAUAGACUAACAAGCGAGGUAGCUUGGUGAAGUGUUCAAGAGCCGGCUCUAGUUCCCCCGGGAGAUUGACUGGCCGAUGCUCCCAGUCCAAGUGUGGGUGGCACUACCUACUUGGAUACCAGGUGUGGCUCAACAGAACCUCGCUCUAAGCCCAUGGCUAGAGCACCUAAAGGCGGAAGGUGGGAAGAGUACCCAGUGGGCUCACGUAGGGCCACGAUGUUCCGAAAUGUUGUCCCAGAGUCCCAAAUGGGGGAAAGGAGGUGGAGCAGUCCUCUAGUGUAGUGACCAAGGAUACAGUCACAUGGUGAGGAAGUCCCAGAGGACCAUGGGACUUAGUGGUCGGGCCUGCGGGCCUUGAUCUAGUGGCAGUGUCGGCAAACAUGGCCAUGAGCAGAAAAGGGACUUGGUAGGAAUUGACAAAGGGAUAUUGGGGAAGGCUAUUCCCCAUGUUUGUAGGCAUCCUAAGGAUGCUAAGGAGUGGAUUUGGGUUGACCACUCGUGGACGGAUGGCCUAGUCUUGGAGAGACGGGAAGUGGUAUUGGACCACUAGUGCGGCAAAGGUGAAUGGGCAUGGCCUUAGCGUAACAGGCUGAUAUGUCAGUGGUACCUUUGGGUGUCAGUCUUGGGACCAGACACGUGGAGCACUUAGACCAAGUGCAAUGGUCGAGUGGCACGGAGGCCAUUCUUGGGGUUAGCAAGUCCCUAAGUCUGGAAUAGGACUUAUAGAGGUGGUGAAUGAGACUCCUCCAAGCAGUCGGAGGUGUGGUUAAAUGACUAAAGUAGAAUAGAAAAGUUUAGUCGCUUACAUGCCUUUGCAACUACUGUUGGAUACUUCCUCCUCAAUUGAGUGGUGUUUCAGCAUUCUUGUCUAGAGUGGAUUCUUUCAGAUAAUGGUCCCACAUUUAUGGCUGAGGCAUUUUAUGUUUUGAUGUCUCGGUUGGGGAUACGCCACACUUUCACAAGUGUUUAUCAUCCAUAAUCAAAUGGUCUGGUGGAAUGGCUCGUUCGGACAUUUAAAGGGAUGAUUGCGAAGUAUGUGAACUUCAGCAUUCGGAUUGAGAUGGUUAUUUGCCGUCUCUUUAGUAUGCAUAUAUUAUAAGGGUGUAGAAUUCUAUUGGUGCUUCACUAUAUAAACUCCUAUAUGGUCAUGAUCCAAUAUUACUAAUGGAGCUGGGUUUACCUUCGUGAUUGCCACGAGCUGCCGAUGCUAGAUCAUGGGAUCAGUAUUUGACAAGCAUUCUUCCACUUAUCUGAGUAAAGUCUGCCAAACACUUAAGCCGCGUACAAGUGGGACAACAACAGCGUUACAUCAUCUACCUAUGGAGUACAAAGUGGAUGAUUUGGUGUUAGUCCGUUUUCCCCAUUUUACGGUACGUGGUUUAUCUAAGGGGCUCCUUGCAUAGUGGAAAGGACCAUUUCAGGUGUUGCGGCAAGUUGGACCACAAGUUUAUGAGGUACGGCAUGGCGUCCAACAGGCUGAUCCUCUAGAGAUUAUGCAUGUGCAGCAGUUGAAAUGUUUCAUACAAAGGGAUCAGGAGCAGUUAAUACCACCUACAAAUCCGCUAAUGCCUCCUCCUGACAUUCCUCCCGAUCCUGGCCCAUACAAGUGUACGGUUAUGAUGCCAUAUACUAAUAUUAGCAUAGUGGGAUUUUGCUAGUUGUCGGACUAGUUUCAAUCCGGACCACUCGUUUCUAUAUAUAAGCUAAGGUUUUUAGGCUAAUUGAUAUACACAUUUUUUAUAUUCCCUUUCCAUAUUCCAAACAUUCACAUUGGUGGAGAUGAGGGGCAUCCAUCCCCUUACCUAUCACAAUAUAUAUUAUUUUAAUACUAUUUUAAUUUAAUUUUUAAUGUAAUAGAACUAUGAUAAUCAAAAUAAUGUUUGCUAACUAGGCAGCAUAUGCUCAAUGACUAGUGGGAAAUAAUACUGUUUUUUUUUCUUUUUUGGGAAACAAAACUUGGUAGCAUGACGUUAUAUUUAUGAAACCACUUAUGGGGUACGUGCCACAACAUUUGACCUUUCUGCUGGAGCAUUCUUACGUCUGUGAGUUUUAUCUUAUGAUCUGACCCAAAAGAUUGAUAUCCCAAUCAACUAUCACCCAAUGUCUCGCUUCACCUUAGUGCUUACAACAAUGUUUCUACUAUUGGUCUCUUUUUUUCUGGCAAACCAGACUAUGUUCCACAAACCAUGAACAUUGGAAGCGAUUGCAAUACUUGUCCUAUUGCUCUCAUUUAUGUGUGCAUUUGGAGGUCUGCCAUUUUGUGCUCUUCAGAACAUCUCUAGAGAGAUCACAGGUUGGGCGAUGACCAUUUGCCAAGUUUCAAAUCAAAGAAAAACACUAAAUAAAAAGUGCACCAAAUCUAAAAUAUUUGCCUUCAAGAGAUGGCUUUGUCUCCACAAAAGCUGUGGGAUAGAUCAUAUCAAGGAUUUGGCAUUCUGGAGAGAAAGCGUCCCUUCUUGUUGAUGAAAUCGGUCCAAAAUGGUGCCAUGCAUGGAGGAAUGCGUCCUGCGGCAAGAGUGGGCUUGUUUCGUAUGUGAAUUUCCGAGAAGGCAGACGGACUUAGAUACGUAAUGUACUCUACCACGUAAAAGAAUAUUCUAAUAAAAUUAAGCAUAUUCUUUUUUCUCUCAAUCACUUUCCUCUGUACACCGCGGAGCGAGCCACGAGAAACUCUUUGAGCGCCUCGACCGUGGGCAGCGCGAGCUUGGCAGCGGGAUGCGCGAGCACGGCCUGGAAGAAGUUGUGAAGACGCGGGCACUGCUCCUGGCUCGCGGGCCAUCACGCCCACAAUCCCUGGGAAGGGGGCGAGCAUCACAUCCAAGAACGCCAUUCUCGCUCCGCCAAAGAAUGGGCCUUCUUCCUCAUUGCCCAGCUUCGUGAAUGCUCCCUCGAGAAGCUCGUAGUUCUCGAUACACUCCUCGUUCUUGGCGUCUCCACGCAUGAAUCGCAUCAAGCAAUCCAGAAGCUGUGCGAUGGAUCACAUCAGGGAUGUGUGGCUCUAGAGACGCAUACCUUCUUGUCGAUGAAAUCCGUCCAGAAGCGGUACUCUGCGCGGGGGAGAGCGUCCGGAGGCAGCAGUGGAGAUUCUCCGCGCCAGACCUCGUCGAUGUACUGAACAAUAAUGACCGAUUCCACAAUGGGCUUCCCAUUGUGGAUGAGAACCGGGACUUCUUGUGGAUUGGAUUAGAUUCGAGCAGGAGCUGGCCCUUGUUCUUCAGGUCCUGGAGGAGAUCAUCGUGCUCGAUGCCUUUGAGUAGCAAUGCAAUCUUUACUCGCAGAGAAAAGUGGCUCACCCGGGAGCUGAGCAGCAUCACGCCUUCCAAGGAUCCGGAAUGGAUUGGAAGAUGAGGUCUCGAGAGAACAGUACAAUUCUAGAAUGCGAUCAAUCCAAACAGUAGUGACAUUGUCAUUAUGUUAUCUGAUCAUAAAAAAUGACCAUAUGCUCAAUCAAGAUAUGGCUGGAAAAGUGUUAUUCAUGCAAAGGUUUCUACUUAUUUCGGAUUAAUUCCUUGAGCUUCUCGACCGGGGGCAGUGCGCCCUUGGCAGCGGGAUGCUCGGACACGGCCUCGAAGAACUUGUGGAGACGCGGGCACUGCUCCUCGCUGGCAUGCUUCAAGCCCAUCACUCCCACAACCCCGGGGGCGUAGGGAGCGAGCAUCACAUCUAAGAAGGAGAAGCUCGCGCCGCCGAAGAAGGGACCCUCUUGUUCACUCCCCAGCUUCGUCAAGGCCCCCUCGAGAAGCACGCAGUUGGCGAUGAAUUCCUCGUUUGCGGCAUCUUUGUCGUUCCCGUGCACGAAACGCAUCAAGCAGUCCAGCAGCUGUACAAGCAAAGGCAUGAGAUCGAGUAGAUUUCUCGAGAUUUAUAGAACAUACCUUCUUGUCGAUGAAAUCGGUCCAGAAGCGGUGCUCUGCGCGGAGGAAUGCGUCUUUCGGCAAGAGUGGCGAUGUUCCAGGCCAAACCUCGUCGAUGUAGUGGACGAUGAUGGCCGACUCUGCGAUGGGCUUGCCCUUGUGGAUGAGAACCGGGACCUUCUUGUGCACUGGAUUGGACUCGAGUAGGAUCUUGCUCUUGUUGCCCAAAUCCUGGGGGAGAUCUUCGUGCUCGAUGCCCUUGAGCAACAGUGCAAGCUUGGCUCGCAUCGAGAAGGGGCUGGCCCAAAAGCUGAGCAGUGUUACAUCUUGAUCACUAGAAGCCAUUGGAAAUGGAAAUCUAGAAGAAAGAUCUGGAAAUGCGAGAGGCUGGAGAAAGGUUUGUUGGAGUCGCGCUUUAUAUAGUCCGUGUGAUCCACGGGGAGCGAGGGGAGUUCCAGAACAUAAUUUGUACCUUCGUUAGGCCACGAUUGACUGGGAAGAGAUAUUCGAGAAGAUAUCUUCGUGAAUAUCGGUAGAACACUUAAGAUUUUAACCCGGUUAUUCCCAAGCCCGGGCUGUCCCGAGCUUCUUCACUGUUUGAUUUAGAAAGAUCCUUAGAAUCCCGGCUUCAAGACAGCAGAAGAAUUUGAUUUUGUCAACUGAGAUCUUGCACUGGUAGAUCAAAGCGACCACAGUUUGUUAGACCGAAGCCAAAGAUCACGAUCGAGUGUCGGUAGAACACAAGUCUGUGAAUAGCAUCAGGUUAUUCCGAGAGCCACCACCCGGCGCCGCUGCCUUUCUCGCCGCGUCCCUGAAUUCCCUCGCUCUCGCCUUUCGAGCUUUGUCGCUGAAGAUCCUCGCAAUGGCCUCAGCAAUCUCCUCCCGCUUCACAAACGCGUCGGAGCUCCUCACGUCCGAAACUUCCACCCCAAUGCGGCAGCUCUCCGCCAUGAUCUUGCGGUUGAGCCCCUGCUCGUAUAUCCGAGGCCAGCAGAUGAUCGGCACGCCGCUGGAGACGCUCUCCAGGACCGAGUUCCAUCCGCAGUGGCUCACGAAUCCAGCCACUGCCCUGUGCGCCAGAACUUCUCUCUGCGGCGCCCAUGAAACCGCCAGGCCUCGUCCCUUGGUCCGCUCGACGAAGUUCUUGUAGAAGUCACUGUUCUUCACCAGGACUGUCGUGUCUGCUUCGUCCACGAACUGGGGCGGCCUGACUGUGAGCAAGAACGGCACCUUGCUCGCCUCCAAACCGAGCGCGAGCUCCUCGAAUUCCUCCUGCGACAGCUUCGCUAUGCUGCCGAAUGCGACAUAGAGGACUGAGUCUGGCUCCUGCGUGUCGAGCCAGUCGAGGCAUUCCCUGUCCUCCUUGAGAAAGCUCAGCACGGACUUCAAGUCGCCGUGAUCAUCCAGCACCGGGAACAAGGGACCGAUUGGCAGAAACUUGUCGUUGAAAAGCUUCUUCAUCGCGUCCACCACCUUGGGCUCCAGCUCGUGGAAUGUGUUACACAGGAUCCAGGAGGACGCCUUGAGUCGCUCGGCUCCAGCACGAAAGUACUCAAGGACGGCUUCCGUGUAGUGCCAUGGAAGAUCAGACUGCUUGAUCGAGUCUAUCCCCGGAAUGUAAGUGAUUUCUCGGUCCUCGCCAUCUGAUUUUAAACAAGACAAAGAUUUAGAGCUAUAAGAGUUGACAAAGACAAACCUUUUAUCGGAAGAUCGCCUUCCGAAAUAAGCAGUGGGGCGUGGUACUCAACAGCAAACCAAGCCGCACUUCCAGGCCAGUAAACAGCGUAUGGAAUUCCAAAUUCGCUGGCAACUGGAGCACACCAUGAUCCAGCAUAGUGAUCAGAGAUUAUGACGGUAACGCGAGGUCCACUGUCAUUCAGAGCUUGGAUCAAAUUCUUGAACUCGCCGCCGAGAUCGUAAACUGCUCUUGAAAAGCGUAUUAGAUCAGCUUCUGCAGCAGCGAGAACUCCUUUCGACAAAUCCACCGCGGGAUGAAGAGGCUCCAGCCUGAUAUCCAACUCCGAAGGAAAAUCCCAUACCUUGAUCUGCUCAUGAAUGGAAACCACGUUGGCGAUGGUAACUGCGCAUCCGAGUUCUGCCAGCUUCUUGCCGAGGAACACAACUGGCGAAAAGUGCCCCUGAGCAGGAUACGGGACGAGUACCACAUGUGGUUUGCCUGCAAACAUCAUAUUGUCAAUGCAAUUUCUCUCGAGUUCUACGAAGAAGAAAGAACGAACCUGAAGCGCUAUAUUUUGGUGGAGUAGGCCAGCUGACACACCGAAGCCCGUUCCUCGCCCUUCCACGUUGGCUUUUUCCGGAAAGAAUCAUUCUUCCGUCUCGGGGAAAACGAGAGGACACUUGUCGCAGGUUCUUGUCUUCAGUAACUCUUUGGCAGCCUCAUCCAGUAGAAAGCUGAAGAUCUCCUUCGCAAUUAGCACUGCUAUUCUCUGUAGCUCCUCCUCUGUGCCUGCCCAGUUUGCCUCUUUACUAACAUCUCCCUGGUGAAGGCCUUCGACUGACUGCUGCUGGAGGCCUGUGUUAUGGCAUAUCUCACUCCAAACGUCUCGCAGAAGUCCCCGGCUCGAAGGCUUACAAGACUUCCGAGCCAAAAUCUCGUUGACGACGUCGAAGAGAAACCGGCGAUGAGAUAAAUUGUCAGGAUUUCCUUGAUAGUCUGCUUCCAGCGUCUGAAAAACUUGAGAAAUAGCCACAGACCUUCGACUGCCACACUCAUAAAGGGGCGGAUUCUUGGACGCCAAAAGUACCUUAGAAACGUAGACAAGAUCUGCUAGACGAGUAUCAGCCACAGGUUUCUCUGUGUUUACUCCCCGAUUCGGUGCUUUUAACAAUCGACGAGUUUCUGCAAGGACGCCACGUUAAUUCAGAUAAAAGAAACCUUGUUCAUAGGUAGCAUUACCUCCCGAGUGUCUUUUGCGAAGUUCCAAAAUAGAUACUGGACUUGUCUGCUGCAACGUCUCGCUCGCAUUUCCAGUGGCCUGAAAAAAUUCGUCAUCGAGAGAAAGACGACCUUGGAAACCAUACCUCUACGAUUUCAACUUGAGGCGCCAGUCGUGUAUCAUAAUCUUCAGAAAAGGUUCUCUGUUCUAGCGUGUCUCCAGGCCGGUCUUCGUCCACCAGAGCCUGCUUUCUCGAAAGUUUUAUUGGCGUCGUUUGGUAUGCUGGUGAAGAAGUCGUAAGAUUCGCACUUUCCAAACUUUGGUGGCAACUGAUAUAUCGUCUCAGCGUCGGAGUGGAAGCGUCUUGGAUGUCCAGUGGCGUCCGUUCCGGCGAAGGCAAAUGCGAGCUGACGUCUCUGAAAGCACUCUCCCGAGCCUUCCUGGCGAUCUCUUGAGCGAUUUCUUUCGCAUCCUUGGAGCCAUCUCUGAGGCGAUGUAUAACGAACUCCCUGGCAGAUUGCUGCUGCGUUUUGGUUUCGGUGACAGCGUGCAGUACUUUCUCCCUGGCUGGAGAGUCGGGCUCAAACUCCUCCCUGUGAAAUCGCGGUUGCGUUUCAAAGACUUUGUUGCUGGUUGUUUCCCCCGAAAAUCUGGAGAGUGCGGCUUGUUGAUCAUCACCUUCUCGUGAAAUUGUCUAGUUUCUCUUGUGCUAGCAUGUACUGGUGGAGAACAGGACCCUGUUUCUUGUCUUCCCUUUGCCGGACCAGGCUUCAAAACUACAAUCCUCGUCGAACCAUUGUCAAUAGAGACUUUCUUUCGAGUUUCAGCACGUUGCCCUUCAUGUCCGUUCAACAAGAGAUGGAGAAGAGUUGGCGUCUUCAAAGGCUCCUCAUUCACAGGCUCCACUGGACUUUCAAACUGGAGAAAGCUGUCCUUACUCGGCUCGAGAGACCGCAUCGCUUCCAAAAGCUGCCGGGAUCGGUGCGUAACCCUCGGAGAGUAAUUCGGUGUUACCCUCCCGGAAAGUCUCGCCCAGCACUGACUUUGUGGCUCUUGAAAACUGGCCAGUUUCUUGCGACUGUGUCUCGAGAGUUUGCGCGAGACAGCUUCUAUCAUCUUUACCCUUUCCAACGAACAGCCGUUCCUCUUAAGCAUGUCACCCAUGUCUCCACCGGCAUUGUCUCGAGACCCAUAAGUCUUGCCACUACACCGGGUGGUUUUACUUUUGCGCACGUUGAAAGAACGCUAUGCUUCGCAGCUGGAAUCUCAAAGCCAAACUGGAAGAUCAUAUGGAGACACACGACUAGGAAGAAAAAAUAAAAGCAAAAAACACUUACGGGGAUCCAUCGAGAACUCGGGACUGGACAAUCCACGCUAUUCCUCGGAGCUUCGACUCCUGGAAGAAAAAUCUAAGGGGCUCCAUCGACACGCAAGACAAAUCAAUGCCGGUUUGGUAUACCUUCUCGAUUCCUCCUGCAAGAUCGAUUGGUGCUCCCCGAAUAUCGGAGUGCUCAUGCCUUGUACCAAACGAUAAUCUACCUCAAGAUCCAUCAAUCCCUGACAUUCUCGCGUGCGCGCUUACUUUGGAAUGGAGAAUCCCUCGCCCGGCGCCCGCGAAAGAGCUCCUCGAUCGCGAAGAAAAUAUAACGAGGAAGACCUAGAAAGAAGAAAACGUACCUUUGGAAGAGCGCAAAUUGAAAGCUUCUUACCCGCCGCCAUUGUACACAACGACAUUGACCGCUGGUUAAUUCUGGAGACUUUUACCAGAUGAUCUCGUGAACAGUGUGACGGAUAUUCUAUUAGGGUAGGAAAAAAAGAUAACUUGAUUGUAACCAAUUUUUAAGAAUUUAACUUGGAUAAUCAACUAAAGGUUAAAUUAGAUUUAAUUUACCACGCUCCUGUUCAUUAACGGUUUCAUCUGGAAAUAAACUCACGUGGAUAAAUUUGUAACAACAAAUCCAUUUUAAUUCAAAGAUAAAUUGAUUUUUUACUGCAAUGUCCCCUCUCGCAACAUCAGGUAAUAAAUUUCAGAGGGCUAUAUUUUUUUCACAAAAUACUUCUUCAGUAAACCUGUCCUGACCACUUUUCUAAUGGCAGGAUUAUGAGUUUUGGCAGCCACUCCAAGAUGUUGAAGGAAGCUCGGGUUGGGGCGUCACGCUUCAGUCUCAAUGCUGAUGCUGAAAUACUCCAAUUCUAAUCAGAUCUUUUAUGUGCUCGAAGGUAGAUGAGCAAGUGUUGGCUCAUUAGUUUGUGAGCCAGAUUAGUGAUUGGGAAGUAUUGGGAAUUUUGAGGUUGUGGAUAGUUGGAUUAUACUGUUGAAAAAUGGGCGAAAUGAGCUUGAUUCUCAACCGGUGACAGUUUAGUGACCUCUUAUGCACUGUAGUGAGCUCCAUCCCAACAUGUUUAUAUCCCUCAGAGUAACAGUGAUGUUGGUAACUCUCAAGAUCUAGAGGCCUUUGAUCUUCUCAGCAGCAGUCUUGAACUCCUUGUUGCCAACAUAAGGAGAAGCUAAAGGGAAACAAAUGAUAGGGAUGAUUUUCUUCUUGGAAAGAUUUACAUUCAAUUUCUUGUUAGGUGAUAGCAUAUGCCCAAAAAGUUGUCAGUGAUGCAGUGCUCUGGCAUGCUAAUGGCUUGGCCUACAUGGUAAAAUAAACUUGCAUAAUGAUAAAGUUCACAGCUUUUCAUUUUCCUCUUAGUUUGUGUGUUAUAACUCCUUCACGCCAACAUUCACUUUAUCCACUAAAACUCUGGAAAAGACGAAGACAUUGUUUGCUCUCAUUGGCUCUAGCUCUGUGUCCACUCUUGAAGAAUUACGCUUAAAAGGGAAAUUAAAAUUAAAAUCAACAUAUUUAGAAAAGGAAAUAUUUAUUAUAUUUUAAAGAAAGUUAAUAGAACAUCCAAGCAUAUUUUAGGUAUAUCCAUUAUUGUUUGCUUAACAAAUUAUCUUAAUCAUAUACUCUACAAGGUUGAGAUUAGUGUAGUAUUGAGGAAAUAGAUAGGAUACUUUACUAUUAGCUGAAUAUCUUGAGGCUCUACAAUGAGUUACACAAUACUAAUACAUAUUUGUCUUUUAAGACUAAUAGAUCACACUAGAUGAUGAUGAAAAGCUGAGCAUUUAAAAUUAUUGCCAUGGUGCAAGAUAAGGCUCUAAUACAAAACAACUUAUGCAAUAUGGUCAAUUGCUAGUCCACCUUAGCAAAAGUCUCCAGGAAAAACCCAAUAUCCUUGAGAUGCGAUGCAAAUACUUCCACCCUUUCCGAUUCUUGAAAGCUGGGAUGGGGAUUCCAUUCCUGGGCUGCAAGGAAAAGGAGUAGGGAUCACCACACGCUUCAAGUUCCAACCCAAGUGUGACAAGUCUUUGAUCAUCGUUUCCCCUCCUUUGCAAGACACACCGGUACAGGUGGUGAGUGGUCAAUUCCUCUGGGUCAAGCUUGUCCAGAAUCUUGUCUGCAUAGUACUGCAUAGCUGCAGUAACACAACUAUCUUGUAGAGCUUUGCCAUGUCUCGCAUGAACUCGUCCACGCCGGGCCGCUUAGCCAAGCGCUCCAGUGGCACAACUUUCCCGCUGAAGAGCCUGAGCGUUGCCCCUGUCGGGCAUGGAUGAGGGUGUUGUCCAUGUCCAAAACCAACGUUGGCUUGUUUGGAUCCAGAGGUAGCGGUAGAAUACAUGUAGUAAACUCACCCUUCGUUUUGACCUUGGGCUGUGGCCUUCUUGGAUCUGAAAAUCCCAACCUCCAUGCUCGCGCUUCAUUUUCGACAGAACUAGAGGUAAACAUCAUACUAAGGGCUGGCUUUAGCUAUCCAAACAUGAUGAUCGCUCACUUGCUCACUAAGCGAGCCUGGAUAAGCUCUUUGAGCUUCUCGAUCUGUGGCAGUGCCACUUUGGCCGAGGGAGGCUCGGUCACAGCCCCGAAGAGUUUGUGGAGACGCGGGCAUUGCUCCUGGCUCGCGGGCUUCAAGCCCAUCACUUGCUCAAGCGCUGGGAUCCACACCGCAGAGGGUGCCAGCAUCACAUCCAAGAACGACAUGCUCGCGCCACCAAAGAAGGGGCCCUCUUCCUCAUCGCCCAGCUCCGCCAGAGCUCCCUCGAGAAGCAAACAGUCUUGGAUGAACUCCUCGUUCACGGCAGCGCCGUUGCUGCGGAAGAAUCGGUCCAAGGAGUUGGAAAUCUGCGUGAUCGAUAAGCAAGAAGAGUUAUAGCAGCAAAUUUCUCGAAGAAAUACCUUCUUCUCGAAGAAAUCAGUCCAGAAGCGGUGCUGUGCGCGGAGGAAUGCGUCCUGCGGCAAGAGUGGCGAUGUUCCAGGCCAAACCUCGUCGAUGUAGUGGACGAUGAUGGCCGACUCUGCGAUGGGCUUGCCCUUGUGGAUGAGAACCGGAACCUUCUUGUGAACUGGAUUGGACUCGAGUAGGAGCUUACUCUUGUUACCCAAAUCCUGGGGGAGAUCUUCGUGCUCGAUGCCCUUGAGCAACAGUGCAAGCUUGACUCGCAUGGAAAAGGGGCUGGGCCAAAAGCUGAGCAGUGUUACAUCUUGAUCGUGACAAGCCAUAGCUAGAUGGAAAAUUGAGAAGAAAAGUUAGAAAUGCAAAUGGACUGAGGUUUAAUAUAAUUGGAUGAAGGGUCGCCUUUUAUAACAUGUCCCACGCGGCUCUAAUUGCCAAGAAGGCAGACGAGAAGGCUGAAGGUAGUGUCCAAAUAAGAAUUAAACUUCCAGCAAUCUAUCAUAAUAAGGAGGGAGUGCUGAACUUUCUAGACCAUUGGAUUUAGCCAAUUGCAACCAUCAGAUGGGGGGUAACUGUAAAAAGGUUAUUUCUUUAACCAUGUCUUAGUGAAUAAUCGUGCUGAUGUUUGCUCUUGCCAAUGGGAGGCAGCCAAGCUGCAUGGGGCGGGAGAGGAAGGCUUUGCAACACAUGUUGCAUGCAAGGUGUUGAUUGACGAGCAAAGAAAGCACUGUGAAGAAUGGGUCACCAUUGCUGUUCUUGCUAGGUGAUUGCUCGCCAGCUAUCCAAUGAUGGAAUAGUGUGGAGAGCAAGCUGACCGUGAUUGCGCUUGUUGCAUGUUGAGCGAAUUGUUUUUGUUUUGUAAUGUUUUUCUAGGGUUUAUGACCUUGUUGCUGCUGCCAAUUCACAAUCCAAAUCUGAGGUACUGUGUCAAUGCCACUGGAACAAACCAUGUCCUGGUACUGUUUGUGUCCACACUUUCUUUUAAUGUCUUCCAUUUUACUUUCUUUUCUUCUUCUCAAAUGCCAAGAGUUCAUUCUUUUCCUGAUUUGGUUUUUCCAAUACUUUGUGGUGUCUUUGCUCCCAAGAACCCCAUCGCAAGUUCUCACUGUUUUUCCCUAUCACUUGGCUUUUUUUCAUUUUGUUCUUCUUUUCCUAGAUGAAUAUUUGAACCAAGAAGCAGAGAAUGCAAAGACAUUGUCUCUGCAACAGCACAUCAUGUCCCCACCAUGCUUCCAGAACCCUUUUUUUAACACUGAUGUGUUUCCUGAGAGAGCUAGGCAAGGUAUGUUGUUAUUUUUCAUUUUUCUUUCAUAACUUUGGUAUUUUCAUACAGGAUGUGUCUCCACUUUUGGCUCUUCAUUGCAUUACCGUGAGGAGUUCCAUCAAAUCAAGGUAUUUGUGGUGUGUAGAAUUUGUAUGAUCUUCAUUCUUACUCCACUGUCAGGAAAUAGGAUGAGGCAAUUUUAGCUAUGUUUAUAAAGUUCUCAAAAGACUUGACAGCUGCCUUUAAGCUGUAAAACAUUCCAAUUGGCAUCUGCUAAAUGAGGGAGAUUGGUUUGUCACUAUAUUCCAAAGACAAUGGUAUUGAUUUGGCAAAUUUUUCUCUUUGCAGGAGGAAAGCAUUGAGAGAAGUUUAGGCACUUUUGUGUCUUGGUGAGUUGGCUUUUUUCUUUCAGUAUUACCACUAGCUUCCUCAAAACUUAUCCAACUUCCAGGUUGCCAUGAAAAUGUAGUGUACUACUUCUCUUCAUGGUUCGAGAAUGACUUUUUAUAUAUCCAAAUGGAGCUGUGUGAGAUGAAUCUAUGAGAUGAGAGCCUUGCAUGGACAUUCACAGAGAAGAAGCUGAUUGAGGCAAUGUUUCAAGUAAGCAGCUCAAUUCUGUUCUUUUCUUAUGACAGCUCUUAAACACUUUCAAGCAUUUACACUUGCAUGGCCUCACUCACCUGGACGUGAAGCUUGACAAGAUCUACAUCUGCAAUCGUGUCUACAAGAUUGGCAACUUAGGCCUUGCCAGUUGAAUCAAUGGAACCAUUUCCAUCGAGGAUGGCGACUUGAGAUAUCUCCCGAUGGAGUUCAUCAACAAUGAUCACAGCCACCUUGACAAAGUUGACAUGUUUUCCCUGGGGGCGACAUUCUACGAGCUCACAAGAUGCUUGCCACCACCAGCAUCUGGAAGGCAAUAUCAAGCCAUCCACCAAGGAAAGCUUGCUCUUCUUCCUGGAUUCUCUCUUGCAUUCCAGAGCUUCAUCAAGUCUCUGAUGCAUCCAGCAGCAAAAAAUCGCCCCUCAACGGCUCAAGCUCUCAAAAAUGCACUCUUCAAGAAGUCUAUCAAGAGUUGCUGAACUUUCUGGGCUGCUGGAUCCAGCCAAUUGCAGCCAUCUGAUGGGGGCAUAACUGUAAAGGGGUUAUUUUUUUAACCACGUGUUUGCAAAUAAUCACACUAAUGUUUGCUCCUGGGCAAUGGGAGGUGGCCAAGCUGCGUGGGGCGGGAGAGGAAGGUGCAGCGACGCAUGUUGCAUGCAUGUGUUCUGUAGCAGAUCUUGCUGGAGUUCCAGCCCUCCUGCUGGAGCUCACGGAAAAGAUCCAGCACCAAUCAAUGCAAUUUGGGAUUGUGGGCAAUGCUAGUGAUCACUGCUGUCCACGAGAUUAGAUUUGGAUCUGGCAUGGCGUGGAAGAUCAUGAUUGCAAUUGCAGGGCCAAGAUGGCUGAAUUGGAUGUAGCUCGUGAGGAUGGUGUUCCAGAACACUGUGCUACUCUCUCGUGCUAGAGAGGAGUCUUGUGCAAAUGCCUAUUCAAGGCCAAUGCUGCGAUCAUGGCAUUGUAGCUCAAUUUGAGAGAAGAUCUGCCACACCUCCACGACAUCCACAAUCCGGGCAUACGCAUCGAUGAUCACUCUGAUCGCACUAUGGUCCUAACUCUCCGGCUCAAGCGAUCAAACAGCACCCUGGCUUCCUUGAUCCUCCCGGACUGAGCGUAAGCCUUACCUAGUCCUCGAGCAUGGAGAUUUUGGAGUUGGGUGAUGCAAAUCGAUCAAAGAGGAGCUUGGCCUGCUCAAUCCUGCCACCAAAUGCAAGACCUGUGACCAUGGCAUUGAUUGUCAGGGCGUUGCGAUGGGGCAUCAGACCAAAGAGGAGCUGUGCCUCAUCAAGAUUGCUGCUCCUCAUGUAGCCAGAGAUGAUUGCAUUCCAUGCCACCACAACACACCGCAGCAUGGAAUUGAAGAGUGCACAUCUGGCCCCAUGUGGCGUGGGUGGAGAUCAUCAAUGUCUACAAUACUGUGUCUCGAUCAGGCAUGGAAUCAAACACUUUUCUAGCAUUGCCCACUCAAUCACUUGUGAGGUAGGCAGCUAGGGAGUGAGUUCCACACGACCGUGUUGUGCAACUCUAUGGAAUCAAACAAAAUCUUUGUGUCCAUGGCCAGUCCCUACUGUGCAUAAGCUCUGAUCAUUGUGCUCCAGGAGACAGGGUUUCUCUGUGGCAUCACGGUGAAGAGAGCUUGAGCCUCACAGAUAUGGCCGUGAGAACCCAUUGCUGUGAUCAUCAGGUUGUGUCUCUGAAAGGGAUUCUCUAAAAUAUCAUGAUUGCAUUGUUGAUCCUCCCAGACUCUGCAAUCGCACCCAGGAGGCUGUUCCACGAGCAGCAGUCCCACUCGGGCAUCUCAAAGAAAACAAUGGCCAUUUGCCCAUUCGUGGCAUUUGCCAUAUUCAUAGAGUUCCAAGAGGCUAUAGUUCGUAAUGGCAUAGAAUCAAAUAGAUCCUUCACAUUUUCUAAAUCAUUUCUUGAUGCCAAAACUGAUAUCAUUGUUGUAUAUGACAAAACAUCUCACUCUGGCAUCUCAUUGAAGAGGGCACUAGCUUCCUCCAGAUGCCAGUUUUGGGCAUAGCACAAAAGCAUCAUGUUCCAGCAGAUGACGUCUCUAUGUGCCAGUGCAAGAAAAACAGUUUUCAUUUUAUCAACCAUUCUGCAAUCUGCAUAGGCAGUGAUCAUUGUUAUCCAUGACACGAGACUAUAGAAAAGCAUCCCAUCAAACAAUCACCAUGCCUCCAACAGAUCCCCAGCCACGGCAAUUGCUGCAAUAGCAACAUUCCAGCUGAUAAGAUUCUUCACUAGGUUUUUUUGAAACACCUGCCUAGCCUCAAAUAAUCAUGAAUAAUGAUGUUAAUGUUUGCUCUUAGCCAAUAGGAGGUGGCCAAUUGAUCAGCAUUAACAUUCAACUUUUUGUAGUGGAAAUUUGCUGUGUUAUUUAAAUUUAUAAUUCUUUCUAUUGAAUUUGAUAAUUUUCUAUAAAAAAACAUAUGCAUAUAGUUAUUUUUCCAAUUCUUCUUUCAAAAUGGAAUAUAAUAUAUGUUAUUUUAAUACUAAUUUAAUUUAAUUUUUAAUGUAAUAGAACUAUGAUAAUCAAAAUAAUGUUUGCUAACUGGGCAACAUAUUUAUAUUUAUGAAACCUACGUGACACAACAUUUGACCUUUCUGCUGGAGCAUUCUUACGUCUGUGAGUUUUAAGCAAUGACUAGUGGGAAAUAAUACUGUUUUUUUUUUCUUUUUUGGGAAACAAAAUUUGGUAGCAUGACAUUUAUCUGAUGAUCUCACCCAAAAGAUUGAUAUCCCAAUCAACUGUCACCCAAUGUCUCGCUUCACCUAAGUGCUUACAACAAUGUUUCUACUAUUGGUCUCUCUUUUUUUGGCAAACCAAAGUAUGUUCCACAAACCAUGAACAUUGGAAGCGAUUGCAAUACUUGUCCUAUUGCUCUCAUUUGUGUGUGCAUUUGAAGGUCUGCCAUUUUGUGCUCUUCAGAACAUCUCUAGAGAGAUCACAGAUUGGGCGAUGACCAUUUGCCAAGUUUCAAAUCAAAGAAAAACACUAAAUAAAAAGUGCACCAAAUCUAAGAUGUUUGCCUUCAAGAGAUGGCUAACCUUGGUUGUCUCCACACAAGCUGUGGGAUAGAUCAUAUCAAGGAUUUGGCACUCUGGAGAGAAAGCGUCCCUUCUUGUUGAUGAAAUUGGUCCAAAAUGGUGCCAUGCACGGAGGAAUGCAUCCUGUGGCAAGAGUGGGCUUGUUUCGUAUGUGAAUUACCGAGAAGGCAGACGGACUUAGAGAUACGUAAUGUACUCUACCACAUAAAAGAAUAUUCUAAUAAAAUUAAGCAUAUUCUUUUUUCUCUCAAUCACUUUCCUCUGUACACCAUGGAGCGAGCCACGAGAAACUCUUUGAGCGCCUCGACUGUGGGCAGCACGAGCUUGGCAGCGGGAUGCGCAAGCACGGCCUGGAAGAAGUUGUGGAGACACGGGCACUGCUCCUGGCUCGCGGGCUUCAAGCCCAUCACUCCCACAACCCCGGGGGCAUAGGGAGCGAGCAUCACAUCUAAGAAGGAGAAGCUCGCGCCGCCCAAGAAGGGACCCUCUUGUGCACUUCCCAGCUUCGUCAAGGCCCCCUCGAGAAGCACGCAGUUGGCGAUGAAUUCCUCGUUUGCGGCAUCUUUGUCGUUCCCGCGCACGAAACGCAUCAAGCAGUCCAGCAGCUGUACAAGCAAAGGCGUGAGAUUGAGUAGAUUUCUCGAGAUUUAUAGAACAUACCUUCUUGUCGAUGAAAUCGGUCCAGAAGUGGUGCUCUGCGCGGAGGAAUGCGUCUUUUGGCAAGAGUGGCGAUGUUCCAGGCCAAACCUCAUCGAUGUAGUGGAUGAUGAUGGCCGACUCUGUGAUGGGCUUGCCCUUGUGGAUGAGAACCGGGACCUUCUUGUGAACUGGAUUGGACUCAAGUAGGAUCUUGCUCUUGUUGCCCAAAUCCUGGGGGAGAUCUUCGUGCUCGAUGCCCUUGAGCACCAGUGCAAGCUUGGCUCACAUCGAGAAGGGGCUGGGCCAAAAGGUGAGCAGUGUUACAUCUUGAUCACUAGAAGCCAUUGGAAUUGGAAAUCUAGAAGAAAGAUCUGGAAAUGCGAGAGGCUGGAGAAAGGUUUGUUGGAGUCGCGCUUUAUAUAGUCCGUGUGAUCCACGGGGAGCGAGGGGAGUUCCAGAACAUAAUUUGUACCUUCGUUAGGCCACGAUUGACUGGGAAGAGAUAUUUGAGAAGAGAUCUUCAUGAAUGUCGGUAGAACACUUAAGUUUUUAACCCGGUUAUUCCCAAGCCCACCACCCGGUGCUGCCCCGAGCGACCACAGUUUGUUAGACCGAAGCCAAAGAUCACGAUCGAGUGUCGGUAGAACACAAGUCUGUGAACAGCAUCAGGUUAUUCCGAGAGCCACCACCCGGUGCC
rnacentral:lncRNA from 1 species